rnacentral:rRNA from 1 species
UAGGGAAUCUUCGGCAAUGGACGAAAGUCUGACCGAGCAACGCCGCGUGAGUGAAGAAGGUUUUCGGAUCGUAAAACUCUGUUGUUAGAGAAGAACAAGGACGUUAGUAACUGAACGUCCCCUGACGGUAUCUAACCAGAAAGCCACGGCUAACUACGUGCCAGCAGCCGCGGUAAUACGUAGGUGGCAAGCGUUGUCCGGAUUUAUUGGGCGUAGCGAGCGCAGGCGGUUUCUUAAGUCUGAUGUGAAAGCCCCCGGCUCAACCGGGGAGGGUCAUUGGAAACUGGGAGACUUGAGUGCAGAAGAGGAGAGUGGAAUUCCAUGUGUAGCGGUGAAAUGCGUAGAUAUAUGGAGGAACACCAGUGGCGAAGGCGGCUCUCUGGUCUGUAACUGACGCUGAGGCUCGAAAGCGUGGGGAGCAAACAGG